rnacentral:tRNA from 1 species
GCCUAGGUAGCUCAGUUGGGAGAGCGUUAGACUGAAGAUCUAAAGGUCCCCGGUUUCGAUCCCGGGUCUGGGCA